UGCGAUGAUGAUGAGUUUAUAUAUAAAAUCUCGUUAAUCUGAUAUAUUAACAUGAGGAUAUUUCACUCAUCCAUUCAUAAUAUUCUGAGC